UACGAAGGGGGCUAGCGUUGUUCGGAAUUACUGGGCGUAAAGGGCGCGUAGGCGGCCUUGCAAGUCAGAGGUGAAAGUCCUGGGCUCAACCUGGGGAUUGCCUUUGAAACUGCUGGGCUGGAGACCGGGAGAGGGUAGCGGAAUUCCCAGUGUAGAGGUGAAAUUCGUAGAUAUUGGGAAGAACACCAGUGGCGAAGGCGGCUACCUGGACCGGUUCUGACGCUGAGGCGCGAAAGCGUGGGGAGCAAACAGG
rnacentral:rRNA from 1 species